rnacentral:rRNA from 1 species
CAAUAGCGUAUAUUAAAGUUGUUGCAGUUAAAAAGCUCGUAGUUGAAUUUUUGCUUGCCGCCGAUGUCGGAACUUCCGUACGUUCGGCGGCGUGCAUCCUUGGGUGGAACCUGUGUGGCAUUAGGUUGUCGUGCAGGGGAUGCUCAUCGUUUACUGUGAAAAAAUUAGAGUGUUCAAAGCAGGCCUACGCCGUUGAAUAUAUUAGCAUGGAAUAAUAAGAUAGGACCUUGGUACUAUUUUGUUGGUUUGCGCACCGAGGUAAUGAUUAACAGGGACAGUUGGGGGUAUUCGUAUUCCAUUGUCAGAGGUGAAAUUCUUGGAUUUCUGGAAGACGAACUACUGCGAAAGCAUUUACCAAGGAUGUUUUCAUUA